rnacentral:piRNA from 1 species
CUUCUUCUCAGGCAUGCUUCGGA